rnacentral:lncRNA from 1 species
UAACUCUUCAAUUCUCUCACUUAUUUUACCUCCGAUGAUUAAUUAAACUAAUGGCAAAUGCUAAGUUACUUUCAGCUGUAACUUACACCACACACACAAAUCACGCAAGUCCCACCAAUGUGUUAUUGUUGCUAUGUGUGGCGUAAGUUACAAUUGAAUGUAACUUAGGGGGCUCAUUGUUCUAAUAGAUUCACCAUCUUUAUCUCCUUUGUCUCCUUUCCACCAUUAUAUUCAUCCACCACUAAAAUGUUUUGGUGCUACAAUGAGAAAACUCGCGUGUAACUCUAAGGAUGAGUCUAUCUUGUUCAUUUAACACAACUAAAUAAAAUCAUCGAAAAGGAUUUUGUCAAAUAUUGAAUAGAGUCGCCCCUAUAAUUUUUAUAUUUCGUACCUGUAAAUCUAUAAAAUAAAACACUCCUAAAAUAAUCCAAUCAUCCACCAACUACAUUGAUCAGUUUCCUUAAACAUAAUAUCACACCUCACUAUAAAUAAUAUGCUUAAAUGUUCAUGGACGAUUUAAGCUUGAUAUGGAUGCAGUUGGGAUCAAGCAUGCAAGGGUUGCCUACGCAGUUAUAGGGUUGGUUAUUUUGACGAUGUUGAUAUUUCUGAGGUAGAAACCUUACACUUUGAUCUCCGGUUUCCGGUUUGCAAGUGAGAUUGGUUUGUCUAUUAAUUGUUGAGUCAGUUUCGUUGCAGAUAAUUCAGUUUGUGAGAGGAAAGUGCAGUACCUGUAUUGAGCUGUUUCGGUUUACUUUUUAGGUGCAAUGCCUACUUUUACCAAGGCAAUAUUUCAAGAUUGACCAUAUACCUAAAACUUGAACCAAGCAGUGCAUGUUUUAGUAAAGUUUGUUGCGACUAUUUUUUUAUGAUGGAAAAUUUUCCAUAACAUUUGACUCGUUUCAUUUGAGGAAGAAGAAGCUUAUGUUAGUAAUAAUAAUAAUAACAACAACAACAACUUAAUUUAAAUAGUGGAAGAUAGGGGUGUUCGUGGAUCAAAUUUUACAGAUUGGAUAUCAAUUCAUAUCUGAUCCACGAUUUUGCGGAUUGAUUUGUGGGCUAAAACUUUUUAAUCAUGUCCAAUCUACGAACUAACUAAAUAAAAAAAGUUAAUAUAAAAAUGAUUUUACUACUGAUCAAAUUCAAAAUUAAAUAAGA